rnacentral:sRNA from 1 species
AGCGUUGAAGUAAGAGGGUGUGCCGGAACGCAUUGUCUUACGGAGCUUUCAGGAGGGGUUGUGCAGUGGAACCUCAAACCGGCGUAGGCUCUUGAGCCGAAAGAAAAUGCUC